CUAUUAUGGGAAGAAAAAGAAAGAAGAAAGAGAAAAUGACGAAGAAAAAGAGGAGAAGGAGGUAGAGCUGCCAUUAAUGAUAGGUGGAGGAGGAGCUUGUGCUGGGAUGCGGUGGCGACGACCGGAGAAGUUGCAGUCGACGACGAGCUCAAUGGCCGUGAUGACAGCAGCUAGCAGUAGCGUUGGGCAGCGGAAAUUGAGAAAGAUAGCAGUAGCUUGCUUGCCAUUGUCUAGAGCAAUUCCAGCAACCAUUGCCGACGGUUCUGGUCUCAAAAUAACCAGUAGCAGCAAGCUUCCAUUUCCGCCCAUCAUCACUUCCUGAGGUUGUCAGAGAAGCAAGAUCUGGCGAAGGGAAGUUUGUAUAGGCAGCUCCAUUUUUUAAAUUUUUUCGGCCAUCUCCGGCGAGAUUAGGCUGAUCAGAGCUCACCAACGGACUCCCCAAAUCACAAGCUUUCCAAUGAUACUAAUUUCGCAGGAAUCAGACUCUGUUAGAAAAUCGAUGGUUGAAAUUGUCCAUGAUAUAUCGGGUUGAGCUGGAGUUGGAUCAAAGAAUCAAAUGCUAGUACACAUUGUUUCGAGUUCAUAGAUGCACUCGGAUUAUCAAUCGGAUUGAAGCAUCCGAGUAAUUCUUUAGCCUCAUGAUUUUAGAAAGAUUAACUAAAAAUUUUAUUAGUAUUACUUUGAGAAAAUUUUGAGAAAAUUGAUUUAAUGUAUAUAAAUAUCUUUGGAGAUUAAAAUAUGUGUCAUUAAAUUGAGUAAAUUUAGUAAUGUGAUAAUUUUUUAAAGACUAUUAUUAGUUGCUUUAUAAAUAUUAAUAAGGUGAAGUAAAUUAAUUAGAAUAUACAAGUUAAUGGAACUUAAUAAUGACAAUUAGAAAUUUUAGAAAUUUAAUUUACUAAAUUUUGAUUGAUAUUUUAAUUAAGCAAUUAGUCUAUAAUUAAAUUCAAUUGUAUUAUUAGUAGAUAAUUGAUAUAAUGAUAGAAAAAUCAUAUAUUUGUUAGAAUAAAUAAUUUAAAACUUUAUAUAUAUAAAUGAUUAGAGAAGAUAAGUAAAAUUAAUAUUAGAUGUAUAAUUAAUAAUAUAGUUGACAUUAAAUAAUUAGUUUGGAUUGAUGCUUAAUUUAUAAGGUAGAUCAAUUGUUAAUUUUAAAUACUCAAGGUUAAGUAUUAAUAGUCAAUAAAUAAAUAUUAAUGUUGGAAAAUAAAUAAAUAGGAGCGAUAAUCAUUAUCAAACCAGUUAUUGAUUGAUACAAAGAGAAAUAAUUAUAAUGAAAUUUUAUAUGCUAUAAAAAUAAUUAGAUAGGGUAAAAAUAAUUAUUGACGGUUAUGAUGAUAAAUUAUUUGAUCAAAGGUAGGGGUAAAUUUAAUAAAAUUUAUUUUUGAGGUAAUACAUAAAUUUUUAUGAAAAGUGUUGUGUGAAUAUUUUCUUGCAGUUCUUGGACUCGUUUUUAUAGGAAAAAUUAGUCUAUUUUAUAAGAGAGGUGUUGUUGAAUUUUCGAUAGAAUUAGUUAUUUGAAAUAGAUAGAUAAAUAAUAGGAUUAUGCUAAAAUAAGACUAGGAUUAGAAUUCAAUUUUAAAUAUAGAAUAAUAAACGUUGGUUGAGGAUUAUUAGAUUUGAGAUUUAAGAUUAAUUCUAAAGUAUGUUUGUGCAUGAAAUUCUAGGGUUGUGCGCUCACAUAAUAGUUCGGAGGGAAUUGCAGAAAAUUUUACUAAAGAUAUAGUUGGUCGAAUCCUGCAUACCAAGUGAGUGGAUAAACCUAUAACAUCAUGUUUCUCAGUAAUAUAUUAUGAUUUAUUGGAAUAUUUCUACUGAAGCAUGUGUUUUAAAUGCAUUUAGACAUUUGAUAUUUUCUAUAGAAAUUGGGAAUAAAGAAUAGUAUUUUUAAUUUUUCUUUAUAUGUAAUUAUGAUUUUACAUAGCUGGAUACACUUAUUUGUAUGAUCUAUGAGAUCACACUUUGGACGUUGAGUGUCAUCAGAUUACACUAUCUCUUGGACAACGCUUAGUAUAUACAUCACUUUUGGGGCAUAUGCUAGGUGGUGUCUUUUGGGAGCUUAUUGUCCACGCGUGUAUAACUGCACUUUGGGUUGCCAGGUGAAACAUCUUUGCAUCCAAAAUUGUCAGGAAUAAGUAGGAUAUAUCUAUGAGUGUAUAUUGUUUUCGACUGAAUUAUUUAUUUUAUUUAUUACCAUUUUUUCUUGGUAUGAUAAUAAAAUUUAAAUUUGUAGCAUAAAUUUUUCAGAUAGAUUUAAGAUUAUAUAGUUAAUUGAUUUUAUAACAGAAAAUGAUUUUCAAUUUUAGAUAUAUAUAGAAGUGCUUCUUUAUUUAAUUAGUUUCAUAAAAUCUCAUUUGUCCAGCUAGAAUGUUUUUUAUCAAACAUUUUUGUUCAGAAUGAUAGCAGUAUUUUCUUCAAUAGAAAAGUAUUUAAGAAUAAUACAAUAUUGAAUUUUAUUUAAGUCCUUGUAUGUUUCCCUUUGUUAUUUGUUUAUCCUUUCACUGAAUUUUACUCAUUUUUAUUUUUACCGACCAGUGCAGGAUGUCUAAGAGUUGAAUUAGAAUUGAAGCAGUAGCAGUUAGAGGUUCGAGUUGCCGGAUUCUAUAAUCUAAAAAAAAAUGAUAAUUAGGUCCAGUUCAGGUACG
rnacentral:lncRNA from 1 species